UGCCAGCAGCCGCGGUAAUACGAAGGGGGCUAGCGUUGUUCGGAAUUACUGGGCGUAAAGGGCGCGUAGGCGGACUAAUUAGUCUGGUGUGAAAUCCCGGGGCUCAACCUCGGAACUGCACCAGAUACUGUUAGUCUAGAAUCCCGGAGGGGAGUGUGGAAUUUCUAGUGUAGAGGUGAAAUUCGUAGAUAUUAGAAAGAACACCGGUGGCGAAGGCGACACUCUGGACGGGUAUUGACGCUGAGGCGCGAAAGCGUGGGGAGCAAACAGGAUUAGAUA
rnacentral:rRNA from 1 species